rnacentral:misc_RNA from 1 species
GAUGAAGAACGCAGCGAAAUGCGAUAAGUAGUGUGAAUUGCAGAAUUCAGUGAAUCAUCGAAUCUUUGAACGCACAUUGCGCCUUCUAGUAUUCUGGGAGGCAUGCCUGUUUGAGCGUCAUUAAACCUCUCUCAAGUAUGAUUACUUGGAUGUGAAGGAAGAGUACCUUAAACUUAAGGAGUGUUCUCCUUUGAAAUUGAUUAGCAGAUGGUAAUGUUAUUAAAUCCCUGAUGUUGUAAGAAAUAACAGUGGUUUUGUAGACUAUUAUCUAGCUUUAAAUUAUAAUUUUUAUUAUGGUUGACCUCAAAUCAGGUAAGGAUAGCCGCUGAACUUAAGCAUAUCAAUAAGCGGAGGA